GGUUCGGUGGUCUAGGGGUAUGAUUCUCGCUCUGGGUGCGAGAGGUCCCGGGUUCAAAUCCCGGUCGAACCC
rnacentral:tRNA from 13 species